CCACCGUAGAGACUAAGAGAAUUCAGCCUCAGCCCCCAGAUGAAGAUGGGGAUCACAGUGACAAAGAAGAUGAACAGCCUCAAGUGGUGGUUUUAAAAAAGGGAGACCUGUCAGUUGAAGAAGUCAUGAAAAUUAAAGCAGAAAUAAAGGCUGCCAAAGCAGAUGAAGAACCAACUCCAGCCGAUGGAAGAAUCAUAUAUCGAAAACCAGUCAAGCAUCCCUCAGAUGAAAAAUAUUCAGGUUUAACAGCAAGCUCAAAAAAGAAGAAGCCAAAUGAAGAUGAAGUAAAUCAGGACUCGGUCAAAAAGAACUCACAAAAACAAAUUAAAAAUAGUAGCCUCCUUUCUUUUGACAACGAAGAUGAAAAUGAGUCUUGCUUUGUUGCUGAGGCUGCUCUCGAAUGCCUGGGCUCAGUUGAUCCUCCUUCCUCAGCCUCCUAGCUAACAGGUGGAAAUUCUGUCAACAAUGUGGGGUGAGUUGGAAAUUCAAAAAAAAUUUUUUGGUACC
rnacentral:misc_RNA from 1 species